UCACCACCAUUUUGCUUGUUCCUGUAUGUACCUGAGUACUUCCCAGCCAGAGUCAAGAUGGUGCCCUCUUCACCUGGUCGCCGGUGAUAAACUAGUUCUCCUCCUAGCACCAACCGAUGAGUGAUGCUCUGCAGGAAGUGAGCAACCAUGAUCACUGUGGGAGAGCGAGGAGACAAGAGUCAGGCAGGAUACCCAUGGAGGAGAGAGAGAAGUGCCUCGGUGGAUGGAGGCGGGAACUGUGGGUCACCUGGAAGACAGCCUUAGCUCGCAGCCGCUCUGCCAACAGAAGCAAGACCUGGGCGUUGAGACUGCCGCUGCUGUCCAUAUCCCCCACCACAGUGGGGAACACCUGUGAAGGGGUGUAGACAGUAAAGCUGAGAUGAGUAGGUGGCUUUAUUCACGGAAACAUGGACACAAGAGAGUUCAGUAACGUCACACAGUGCCCCCUAGUGGACGCGCCAAAGACAAACUCCAGCAUCCCUGCACGGGGAAUAGUUAACUUCUCUAUCCUCUCCCAUUCAGAAGAGGCACAUUUCCUCCUCCUCAAGACCUCCGUGCGGAUCCCUCACCUCUGUGGGGCUAAGCUGCCAGUCCCCUGCAUAGGCGGCAUGGAGGUGAUAGCCUGGCAAGCCCAGUGCACUCAUGUGCACGGUAUGAGACACCUGAGGGGGAAAGAGACAACGGAGAACAUAGCAUUCUACUUCACUUCAGUUCCGUAUCCCGCCCUUCAUCUUUUUCCCAUCCAGAGAGCCUUUUAAAAACCUCAAGCUAAGCCGCGAGGUGGUGGCGUACGCCUUUGAUUCCAGCCCUCUGAGGCAGAGGCAGGCCUAUCUUUGUGAGUUUUAGGCCAGCCUGGUCUACGGCAUAAGUUUCAGGACAGCCAAGGCUACACAGAGAACUGUCUCACAAAACAAAACAAAACACACUUCAACUCUUUAGAGGGUCACUGGAAUUUUAAGCAACAAGUCCCCCAGGCAAAGGAGGUAAAAGGGAGCCCACAUCUUCCCUCAUUUGUCCCACAUAGCCUGGCUAAGACUGGAGUGAAAGGUGUGAAGAACAGGAUCCAGGGACAAGCAGGGAGGAGCAGUAGGAAGGGGCCAGAGAGUGGGAGCACCUGGAAAUGGCUGCUCAGAACCUUGUUGACAACCAGCUUCACGCCCUCCAUCUGUGCUGGGAAUACAUCUGGAGGGAGUGAGGAGAAGGGAAGGAACAGCAGAAAUAAGGACCCCUAACCAAGGAGAUAGGUUCCCCUUUCAGUCCCAUAUGAAGCCCUGGAGGAAUUGACCUCCUUUCAAAUCCUGCAACAAAAUGCUCCACUCUGAACAUCUGAUCCUUCCUGAGUGCUGGAUGCUCCAGCCGUGAUCUCCCCUUUCUGUUUACAUCACUGGACAUCAGCAUUCAAGGUCCUCCCCUCCUCUGCCCCUCCAACCUGAGACACCCAAAGGCUCAGUGAGGUCUCACCUUUGCACAACCUGUGCAGCUCAUCGAAGCUCCCGGGGCUUGGCAGCGGUUCCUCUCGACGGGGGCCCCGGCGGGGUAAGGUCCCCAUCGGUGCCAGGCCCAGGGUGUUCCCCAUUUUAGUCCAGAGGACAGGGAGGGGUCUGGGUUAGGUUGGGAAAACAAUCUAUUGCCCCCUCUAUCCCCCACGGGCUCCACCCCCCAUCAUCAGGCUCCCCGGUUUCAGAAACUUCCAUACAGUUCGAUGCUAGACCUGCAAAAGGAACAGUAGGGGGACAGCGCAUCUAUGGGAAAAUUGAAUCCCAGGCACAUUCCCGCCCCAUCGUUGAUCCCUCACCCCCACCUGUCACCCAUGUCCGCUCCCCCAGUAUCUAGUCUUACCCACGACCACAGGCUUCAGCUAACGUCCUAGUUUCUCUCUUCCUCAUCCCACGUCCCAAGGUUCUGCUCGCAAUGGAAAAUGAGCCCUUACCAUCUCAGACCAUCCUGCUGCCCCUUUCCCCUAGGCACACCCCGGUCAUCUUGAUGGGGCAGCCAUCUUGCGUAAUGGCAGAACUACAGCUUCAGCCUGUAUUCCCAGCAUAGUCGCAGGCGCCAUCUUGGAACUGGGCAAAGGAAGCGCUCAAAGACCCAGCCCACCCAAUGAUGAAAAAAGGUGCCUCAAUUUCCCAAUGACCAAUGGGAGAGUAGGAAACAGAAGAGUGGCAGGCCUGACGGCCCCAGAGCUUCAGUCCGGUGCUGCAGUGGCGAGUGGGAGUUUGUGGGUGGCCCUUUAGACUUGGGUCGAAGGCCGCCUCACUAAGAUCGCCCAGCCUCUUCAAGGUCGAAAUAAACUUGUGAGCAUUCAAGACACUAGAGGGAGCAUUUUGUCGCUUGGACCCCUGGAGCGCCUUAAACCGGAAAAAUGAAACUAGAGUUUGAGUUUGGAGACGUAUUUUAUGAAGGAUUGCUAAAGACUGAGACGACGUAGUUCACAGUACCCUCCACCUUCCUGAAAGCCGCCAGGGAAUCCCCACCGCCUUCCACACACUCCGAGGGCUGCUACUCACAAACACAGCUCUCUCCUAGACAACAGAACCCUACCACCACUCCCUCCUCCCUCCGGAGUUCACAUGAUGGCUGUGAGAGUGGGCAGAGGAGCGGGUCGUGGGCAGAACCAGUUCCUCAAGCAGCUGCCCUCACUAGUUGGUACUGCUUUGCAGAAAAGAAAAAGGAAAUCUAGGAAUACGACUACAGCCUGAAGUUACACUCUGUCCCCAGGGCCAGGGGCGAGCAGUCGUGUGGCGCUAGAGCUCCCCCACAAGACAGCUGGAAAGGGGCAAGAUUUCAUGGUUCUUGACUGGUUUCCACACUUCCUCCCCUGUACCUCUGGGUAAUGUUACAGUGUACACAGGGUAAGCUUUAGGGACACACCGGUGAAAGAUGGGAAUGUUUUCAGUAUCCCCUUAGCUGAUUCCACUGGAGAGCUCUGAGCCUAGGGAAUGUACCUCUGUCCUCCCACACAAUUAGAGCUGGGACAGGGGCCAAGGCCUAACUGAUAAGGUGAUCAAAUGACCGAACACCUUUGACCUUUAUUUGGACAGAGCCUUGUAACUGCUGAGGUUGGGAGCAGGAGGGCAGAGACUUUUUCUGAAUCUGUUUUGGGGGGAUACUCAUUAAUUGAUGAGAACCCAUAAAUGCAACAUCAAUGCUUUGGACUUUUAUUUCAUGAUUAUUUUAAAAGAACUCCAUUGAUGAAACCUUUCAAAUGCAA